CCAUGUUGUAAUCAGCCCAUCUAAAAUUUUGGCCCACUAAAUUUCAACUCUCCAAGAGUGGUGGCCCAUAUAGUAAUCAAGCCAAUUUGAAUCUAGGUCCAUUAACUUCAAGAAAGGCCCACUAAUUUCUCAGUCCAGGACAUUAGCCCAUCACACAUUUCUCUUGGUCCAUGGAAAUUUUAAGCCAAUAAUAAUUUAAUAGAAAAUAUAUGUUCAGGUCCUUAAAAGCAAAAAAUUACAUAAACACACCGAAAAAUACACCUGUACAGGAGCAAAAAAAGAACCAAAAAAGAUUAAUUCUACAAGCAUGUCUUGGAGAACACUAUGCUACUCUACAACCAGCACCACACCCAUCAAGCAACGCACAAUGCUCAUUGGACAACCAUGGGACCCCGCAUUCCUGGCCGUGGAUCCGCUCGUCAUGUCUUUGUUGUUGAAAAUGCUCCCAUAAACGAAUAUCUGCCACAUGAUGAAAAAUAUGUCACAGUGUGUAAUAUUAUAGUCAGUAGGUUAAAAUAGAAGUAGAAACUGGAAGUAGCUUACUACACGUUAUCAAGUUCUAUAUUUUUCUCUGCAAUGAUGCAAAGUAGUGAAACAAAAUCAUUUGUGUGAAAAGAAACAACUGAUGGCAACAAAAAGGAAUGAUGAGCAUACAUAGAUCAAUAGUUGGUAGUAAACUCCACUGUGCUUAUUUGACUAGAAGUUCUAAGCUAUCACUACACUAAACUCGAAUCAUGCUAUGAAAACCCUUUGAAUUUCCUACGAUGCAGUCUCUAAUGUGCCGUGAAAUAUGAAGUAUGUGAAACUAAGAAAAGUAUAAAAAGUAAGUCAAGGGGAGGCACUUGGGUACCCAUUGCCGAAAAUAAAUAACAUAGGCAAUACUUUUAUUCUGGUAACAAAGGCAAACAUCAAAAUGAAAAGGGAACAAAACUUCUUUAUCUUAAUAAAAUUAUUAUGCUAAAGGAGAAUAAUAAUAUCACAGGUAGUCCUACCUUCCAACAACAACAAAAAGGAUAAUAGCUUCUCGUACAACAAUCAAUCAUACCGUAAUGCAUCCACAGUUCCAAUCUAUAACAGAGAAAGCAGACUGCCACAGUUAAAAUUUUCAUUUCAACAAUGAAAAGGGGUUACCAUUGGUAUGAAAAUAAGUGAUAAUUGAUGUAUUAUAUAUGUAGUGUGGGAUAGGAUACUGAACAGAAGGGAGUUAAGUUAAUGUACAGAAUUAUUGAUGUCCAACACAAUCUGAAUCCUAAACAGUAUUUUUAGAAUAGGGAACUUGUUGCUUUUGUAUUAACAAGAAAACAACAGGAGCAUAAUUAGAGUCCACAUCUGUUCAAGCAAAAAUAUAGUUACUUGACAGGAAAUAAAAAUCGAAGUAACAAUAAUAUAUAGCAUAUAGCAAUAUAAACAAAAUAUACACUUACAGUUCUAAGAUGCUGAUGAUAAAAGUACAAUUUUUUAGGUUUUCUCUCAAGUACUAGAUACACGCAUCUGUAAAACAAGUCCAUUCUAGCAAGAUACACAGUCGCAGCUGAAUUUAUAUCUAACAAGCUGGAACUUCCAAAUUAACUCCCAAAAGAUCAAUACGAAAGCAACAUGAAGAAUGGUGCAUGUUAGAAAAAAUAGCUAUAUCAUAUUGUGUGGAUCAGCAUUAGCUUGCCCUAAUUAAAUUGUGUGUAACAGUGCAAGAGAAUCAGAUCCACAAAACCGGCAGCAACUAAUCAAGUUCACAUAUUCAUCUCAGCAAAUGAAUCCGCCUUUGAACUGAACCGAAACAUUUCUGUAUUCAGAUUGCAAGUAUCAUCAAGAUUUGUGGUAAAGUGGGGAGAGGCUCACCACGCUAGGAGGUAAGGAGGACGUAGCCAUCAAUGAGCUCGUCCAGGCAUUCUAGGACAGGAUGCAGGGGCCAAGGGGGUGCUGGACUUGGUUCUGCACCUCUUCCGGCAAAGAGAGCUUGUUGGGAACGGCUGCACUGAGGAGGAGGAUGUCUUGUACGCUGCUGGAUGAGUGGAGAAGGCGGUAGGCAUUAGUGGCAUACAAAUCAACCCUAAUAAAUAGUUCAACUUGGACAGCACAAGCAGCCUGACUAGAAUAUGAUUCUAAGAGAGAAAAACACUGUCCAAGAAAAAGAGAAACAAAAACUGCAUGCGACAAAGCAGCAGGACCAUUCAUUCAGGGAACAGAAGAGGUAGCAAAAGCAGCAGCAGGUAAUCCUUAUAACUAGAGGCUAAGCAUCCAUCGUUGUCUCCAGUCAGCUACUUCAUAGUAACUAACACCGGCAAAUAAAAAGUAGCACAAUUAACUUGUCAUAUAAUCUAAACAUUCAAAGUUCAAGUCCAGAUUUGAUGUUAUAUGGCUAAAGAGCAGUUGCAAUAACAAAUGUCCAGGAUACAAAAUAUUAAUCCUUCCAACAGGAAGUAUAUUCCAAGGUACUGAUGUAGGCAAACUAAAAUUUUGAAGUGCUAAUUCUUUGAACGAGAAGCAUAUGUCGAGGACCUUUCUACAAAGCCGAAACCAGCAUGAUAGCAGAGGUAAAUAAUUACAGGGAACCACAAACUAGUGAGCUACCGGCCCCAGCAGUACCUAUACACAUGGAUGUAUUAGUAUCGCAGAGAACAUUUGCAUGCAAGAGAUCAGAUUAUUUUUCUAGAAAAAUGCAAGAGUGUAGUUAAUGGAAGAAGUCGUUUCUAUAGGAAAAAUAUACAUGGUCGGCAGUACUAAUGUUGUAGAUAUAUUGAAUCAAUAAUAUAAAUGUUUCACUGUUGAUGUUGUACGGACAAAGAUUCAUGGCUGACUGGUGGCCCAGUACUUAAGAUACUGAAUCGAUACCAUUAAAGUAUUAGUACUGAUGUUGUACAGAUUAAUAACAGAUUCCACACACAAAUGUAUAAAAGGUUCAGAGCAAUUCCACACUACUUCAUCACACUCUAGCCAAACGAGACAUCUUUCUGAACUUAUCUACACCUGAGCUUCUGUACAUAGGCUACACAAUCAACUUGCCAUGUAAUAUAAACAUAUAAAGUUCAAGCCAGAUUUGAUAUUAUGUACCUAUGUAGCUAAAGAGCAGCUGCAAUAACAAAUGUUCAGGAUAUAAAAUGUUUAAUCCUUCCAACAGGCAGUAUAUUCCAAGGUACUGAUGUUACAUGGACAUUAAAAUUUUAAAAUACUAAUCCUUUGAACGAGAAGUAUAUGUCAAGGACCGGACUACAAAGCCAAAUUCAUCAUGAUAGCAGAGGUAAACAUUACAGGGGAAACACAAACUAGUGAGCUACAGGCCCAAUGAACUACACAUACACGUGGAUGUAUUAUUAUCUCACAGAGUACAUUUGCACGCAAGAGAUAAUCUUUUUUCUUUUUAUAAAAAUGCAAGACUGUAGUUAAUGGAAGGCAAGUCAUUUACCCAAUGCCAACAAGUGUUGUGUUACAAAGAUUUGAGAUUUCUACAUACAAAAAUGCAUGCUCAGCAGUGUGCACUGUGAAAACUGUAUGCUACUACUACAUUUAACUAUGCGCAGAACUCAGCCCAUAAAUUAUUACUUGAGCACUAAUUUUUAUUUUUAUUUGAAAAUAUUCUAAUAUGUUCAGCACAGUCACGUACCCACAUCCAGUCAUCCACACUAGCUGAGCAAUAUCAACAAUAUCAACAAAUCCACACAGCAGAAGCAUCAACGCAAGAGAUGACUGGUACUUGAGCAGCAAGCAUGCAGCAGCAACCAAUCCAUAGAGAGGAAGAGGGAGGGAGUGAGCAAGGGAAGAACAACCUGGGGGCGAGAAGCUCGCGGUGGAGUGGCUAGGACGUGAGGUCAGGGAAGGAAAUCGCCCAACCUCCGUCCGGCAAUGGUAUUGAGUGCCUCACCUGCGACCAACCAAAGCAGUAGGAAAACAUAUCAGCCAUGGAGAUCCAUCCAUCGAUUUAGGGGUGGGAUUGGGAACUAGAGAGGCGGUACCAUCUGGGGUUACCACCAUAGACCACGGGGAAAAGGAAGGGGAGGCCAAACUUGGCGCAGAACAACGCGAGGAAGGAGCCGACCUCUAGAGCUGCUCGGCGGAUCCGGAAGCAGCGCCGCAAAUCGGGGAGCGCCUCGGCCUGCUCGUUCUGGGGGCCGCCUAGUUUAAGGAGAUAAGGGGAGAGCGGGGAUGUGGGCGAGGGUGUGGCGGUGGCGGUUAGGGAGAGGGGCACCGAGGUUGCCUGUGGUGGCGGCGGACGAGGGAGAGGGAGAUGGAUAGGAUUGAAUUGGGGGAUGGAGGAUGGAGAAGAAGAUGGGGAGCAGCGGUGGUGGAGGCGGUCAACCACCGUUGGGCCAUGUGCCU
rnacentral:lncRNA from 1 species